AUUUAUGUGAACUUUUUGACGUACAUGUAUAAUCUAUAGAUAUUUGUUAUUAUUAUUAAUUAGUAAUAAAUUUGUAAAAAGAUAAUAAUAUGUCUAAUUCGCUUGUUCGUAAGAGUCUUGAACUCUCUGGAUACGAUGAUAUGAAAAAAGAAAAGAAGAAAAAGAAACAUAAUGGUUAUAAAGGAACUUUAGAAUUAAUUCCUACUAAGUAUAGAAUUAUUACUUCCAAAGAAAAGACAAAUAUCAAUAAUAUUUUGGAUCGGUCUAAUAAAGUUACUGUAUAUGAAGCUAAAAAGCGACUGGAAACAAAAAAGGAUUUAAUGGAAGAAAAUAUACAGAAUCUUUUAUUAUUAAGUAGUAAUUGUUUGGAUCAGCAUACAGUUAAUAAAGUUUUAAAACGAGCUGUUAAGAAACGAUAUAUUCCAAAAGAGAAAAAGAAGGCAAAACAAGAAAGUACUGUAUUUACGGAAGAAGAUUUUAAGAAGUUCGAACAAGAAUAUGUAGAUCAGUAAGAAGAUUUUUUUUGGGUAAAUGUGGGAAUAGAUUUAAGACUAGAAAAAAAUCAUUGAUAGACAGUGUAUGGAUAUUAAAUAUGCAAUAAAUGUUUUUAGAGUAAACUUAAAAAAGAUAACACAUGAAAUAGUUAGCAUUUAAGAGAAAUAUUAAGAAAGAAUAUUCUAUGAAAUGGAUACCUGAACAUUGGCAAACAAUUCAUAACUUUGUGAUUUGAAUGAGUAUUUAGUUUACAUAUUAAUAUAUUAUAUCAUAAUAAAAUAAUAGCUUAAGAAUUGACAGAUGUUAUUUUUCAUAAACAAAUUAUUAAAUCGAAAAAAUAAGGAAAAGGAGACAAAAUAGAUAUAUUGUAAUAUUAAAUAUUUAAUAUUUACACCAGACACAUUAAUAUUGAUAUAAAUUACAGAUUUGUGUAUCAUGUGGAAAUAUUUUAAAUAAAAAUUCGAUGAUAUUAUAUUAUAGUAUUUAACAGUAACGUUUUUUUUUUCUGAAUUGACUAAUAAAACUAGUAUAUCAAAAAUUAUAUUGUGGAUUAAGUAAUGGAGAACAAUUUUCUUUUGUUAUUUUUUUUAUAGUAAUCUAAAUAAUAAUUUAUGUGACAAUUGAUAUGUCAUUAAACUGACAUUGUAAAUUGCAUAUUUUAUAAAACUUGAUUAACAUCUAUGAAAUAACAACCUUAAUAUAAGGGAUUGAGUAUGCAGGAGAUCGAUUAGCUUUUCAAAGAAAGGGUAGAGUAAAUACAUGGCUUUAUUAUAGUCAGAAAAAUGAAAAAUCUCUUAAUGAUUAUACAUAUGCCUAGAUGGUCUAAAAAAUCCAAUUUUUAUAAUUUUUUGUUUUACAUAUAAUUUAUUUUAUCAUUAAAUAAUGUAGUAGGAUGUACAUCGAGCAGUAUUUUUUUGUGGACUCGGCGCAUAUGUAUUCCACCUAUGCUGACGUUCGUGUUUUCUCGUUUUCCAUUGUUUAGACCAUCCCCGUUUUGUAGAGGAGUUAAUUAAAGGUAACAGAAAGAAUAAAUAUCAGACAGAGUAUUCCAACGACACAGAUGACCAUCAGAUGAUUAUUUGUGCUGACCAAUGAAUGCACUCCGCAGAAGAAUCCAAUCGCUACAUAUGAUUCACAACAAUUUCUUAAAAAUUUAACUAACGAUUAUUAUAUACGAUAUGGGGACUUUGCAAAUUAGAUAAAAAUAGUAAAUUGUAUAAAGAAAGAACAUUUAGAAAUUACAAAAAUUCUACGGAUUA